GCGCUGGUCACGUUGGACACCUGCGCGUUAGGAGAUUCUGGAGCCGGAGGAACAGCCGAAUGGCCUUCGCCCGUCCUGCCCCUCGCCCGCUUCAGGAGCUUCCGGAAACUCCCCGGUGGGCGACCCAGCCCGAGCCGCCUGGGGGCUCAAGGGAAGCAGAAUCGGGAAAUGGAGAGAGAACCUGAAAGAGUCCCAAACUCGAGGACCUAUUGCUCCCCGAGAAUAACAUCUUCCAGAAGAACUAGGCAGAAAACUAGGCGUCUGGGAACCCUGAAAUCCCUGGAGGAGUAGCAUCAUCAUGACCCUCUGUGUUCUUUUGGCAAAGGACUUGCUUCCGUUGUUUGUUCAAUUAUCUGUUUGUUAAAUAAAUAAAACCCUUUUCAUAUAUCUUUAAAAUUA